GGGCCCUCGCAGGGUGCGCUGCGGGAGGCGGGGUGAAGCGCUGAUCUCGGUGCGCCUGCCUCCCCGGGGUGACACAGAGUUACGGGUGAGGGUUGCUCGGUUAAAUCAUCAGGUGAGGUCAGGACCUGCCCUAGAGUGGUGCGUGUCUCCCAUGGCACGCACGCCUGAGCUAGGGAGAGGGAUGAAGUGCUUGCUUUGGAGGCGUCUCAUGUGAAAUACUUCUGUACAGGACUGUGGGAAUGAAGGAGGAAGUAAACACUGAGGUACUUGCCAAUUGCCACAAAAGGAAUUUAAGCCACACACUUUUAACAUCAUAUGGGGCACCUUGUCUAUGGAUGGUGAAAAAAACCUAGAAGAAAUGUCAUAUGUUGUUUCUCUUCACCUGGAAGCCUUUGGGUAAAGGAAGAAGCAACGGGCGAUAGGCAGAACAGGAAAAGUCAAAAUGUCAGUAGCAGAACUGGUAACACCUGGUUCCUUCCUUUUUUCUGUGUUCUGUACCCAGCACCCUUAGUGCAAUAAACCCACUGUGUCUUCUGUGCUCCUC